rnacentral:lncRNA from 1 species
CACAAUCAUGGAUUCAGAUCAGAGUGAAACUUCAAUUUCAUCAUUAAAUCAGACUAGAUCAAAGAACUAUAACACUACCCACUAUCCCAAAUUUGCUUUAGAGGUAAUUAGAUAUGGAAUAUCAGAUGAAGCAGCUGCCGCUGUAGCUAAUUUCAAGAUAUUGGUUAUCUACAUCUAAAUGAUGUAAUUGAUCCAAGUAAAAUGAAAAGAGAGAAAGAACGAGUAUGCUUUAAUGCUAGUUUUGAGCAAUCUAAAGUUUCAAAUAUAAAGGCAAUUGGUUUGGAUAGCAAACGUAAUAAAAACUCAUUGGUUUAAGAACAGAGAGAUAUUGACGGUGAAAUAAAUCUUUGUAAAUCUACUAGCACUCUAGACCACUUGACAUUCACAAUUGAAUCAGGCGAGUUGCAAGGUCAAUAUCUAAAGCACAUAGAUGUACCUAAAGAAAAAGGUAAAGGAAAAGAUCUUGCUGAAUUUACCUGUAAUGUUCUCAAGGAGUUUAAGAGUGAUAAAAGUAUCCAGGCAAUAAUUUUGGACAAUACAAGUGUUAAUACAGGUAAAGAUAAUGGUUUAGUUGCUUGUCUUUAAAGAAUAUUGAAAAG